rnacentral:rRNA from 1 species
GUGUCAGCAGCCGCGGUAAUACGAAGGGAGCGAGCGUUGUUCGGAAUCACUGGGCUUAAAGCGUGCGUAGGUGGAUUGGUAAGUAAGGAGUGAAAUCCCAGGGCUUAACCCUGGAACUGCUCUUUAGACUGCCUGUCUGGAAUUCGGAAGAGGUUGGUGGAACUCCCAGUGUAGAGGUGAAAUUCGCAGAUAUUGGGAAGAACACCGGUGGCGAAGGCGACCAACUGGUCCGACAUUGACACUGAGGCACGAAAGCGUGGGUAGCAAACAGGAUUAGAUACCCUGGUAGUCC